UGGGGAAUUUUGGACAAUGGGCGAAAGCCUGAUCCAGCAAUGCCGCGUGUGUGAAGAAGGCCUUCGGGUUGUAAAGCACUUUUGUCCGGAAAGAAAUCCUUGGCUCUAAUACAGUCGGGGGAUGACGGUACCGGAAGAAUAAGCACCGGCUAACUACGUGCCAGCAGCCGCGGUAAUACGUAGGGUGCAAGCGUUAAUCGGAAUUACUGGGCGUAAAGCGUGCGCAGGCGGUUUGCUAAGACCGAUGUGAAAUCCCCGGGCUCAACCUGGGAACUGCAUUGGUGACUGGCAGGCUAGAGUAUGGCAGAGGGGGGUAGAAUUCCACGUGUAGCAGUGAAAUGCGUAGAGAUGUGGAGGAAUACCGAUGGCGAAGGCAGCCCCUGGGCCAAUACUGACGCUCAUGCACGAAAGCGUGGGGAGCAAACAGGAUUAGAUACCCUGGUAGUCCACGCCCUAAACGAUGUCAACUAGUUGUUGGGGAUUCAUUUCCUUAGUAACGUAGCUAACGCGUGAAGUUGACCGCCUGGGGAGUACGGUCGCAAGAUUAAAACUUAAAGGAAUUGACGGGGUCAUAGCUG
rnacentral:rRNA from 1 species